UUCAGUGUUUUAAAAAUUAAGUUGUCUUAUUUAAAUUCCAGUCAUUUUUAAUUUUAGUUUACCGCAUUAAAACAAAAUCACAAAAACACCCCCCUUUUCGUGUAAAAAAGAUCUGAGACUUAAUCCAAAAAUUGGUCCUUGUGAGACGACCUAGGAGUCACUUCCUAGUUAUACUGCAUAUUUUCGUGCAAUCAAAUUUGUAUGACCGCGACAGUCUUGAAUUGCUUGGAUGAUUUCUUGUCAUUGCUGCAACAAAAUAACAGUACACACGGCCAUUGCAGAAUUGGUUUGGUUUACGAGGUUAAGCACAUGAAAAAAAAUGGAUCACCAUUUGUAAACAUCUUUCGGUUUUGCUUGUUGUAAGAAGCAUGGUAGCAAGCUUAAGUCAAAGGAGUGUUGUCACAUUAUUUUGGCAAGAAGCUCAUGUAACAAAAGUGGGGGCCGCCAAUUUGAGAAGGCAAUAUUGUUUUCAAUUGAAAAUGCCAUAUGAAGGAAGCAUUCACGGCAAACAACAGGGAGGAUUCUUUCUUUUAAAUGGGAGACAACAUAAUAUAAAUGGGAGCCACCACCUUUUUCUUGGUUUGGAACGUGUUUUCCAUUUGGAAAGGCUGCACAUAAAAAAAAAACCAACAUGCUCACAACUCUACACGAUUCAAUAAUCAAAGUGAAAUAAUGGAAGGGACCACCAAGGAAGACCACGUAUCACACGGCCAAAACUACAAUUCAUGUUAUUAUAUUUUAUUAAAUGGAAAGAUGAAGAUUGAAAAAGGACCACUUCACGGUUUUAGAAUUCUUUUGGGAAGAUGACAAGCGUGAUUUUUAUUGUGGAGGAAGCCACGUUCUCUAAGUAAAUUCUCGGCAAUAUAGAAGUAGAUGGACCUAAGUGGAAUCAAAGAAAGGGGCUGUAACGGAAAGGAAGAUGGAACCAGCCACUUGUUGAUUGGAGAAGAGAAGCCAGCAAGCGGUGCAGCUCCGUCCAUGCAUCCAGCCAUCUCCACUGGUCCAGCACAUCCAGCAACAUGAAGAAGCGCCAAGGAUGGAAGCUCACACAUAGUGAAUGGCAGCGUCCAACAAGCUUGGGAGCAGUUCACUUUUGGCCAGAAAAAAAUGUUGUAGCUGCUGCUGAUUCACGUAGAAGCUGGAAGUGAUAUGUGCUUGGAGAGAAAGGCUUCACACGUACAGCUCAUGGUGGGAAGACAGCAGCUCACGGUUGGAAGAGAAAGUGCAAGGCGUGGUGCUGGCUGGAUGGUGUCAAGGUGCAGCAGCUGGUCCAUCUUGGAGAAGUGCAGUUCAUGGAAGAUCACAGUCCAGCAAGCUUCAAUGCGUCCAGCAGUUGGCAGCAAAGGCAGCAAGCCUUCACACGUUCCAGCAUCCUAUCAUCUUCCAUCCACCAACCUUGAAGAAAAUAAGCAGCGUCCUCCAUCAGUCCAGCAAGCUUGAAGCAUUCACGCAUCCAGCUUGGGGCGUCAAAACCCAGCAGCUGCAAUGGUUGAAGAGGAGGGGCUGGACGUGUGAAAACUGAGAUGGAAAAAGGUGCUGUAUUCCAGCCACCACCUAGAGGGAAUGAAGCUCAUGGUGUGAGGAGUGAAGCUUUGGUGAAAAUGGUCCAGCAGCUAAAAAGAAGACGUGUUGAAGCAGCUGCAAGGAAAUGAAAGGGAGUCUACGGAUGUAUGAAGAGAAAGGAGAAGAGCAGCAGCCACUGGUUCUGAACGUUUUGCACAAAAAGAGGAGUGCAUUCAUUGGCUGGAAGAAGACUCACGGCCAGCACCACAAAGCAAUCAAGUCCAGAAGUGAAGCUCCACGGUCUUGGUCCAAUUGAAGCUGCAACGUGUGGAGAUGAGGAGAAGUUGUUGUAACGUCCAGCAAAGGAAGCAACUAUGGCUGAUUGGAGAAGAAGACAAGAGUAGGUGUAAAUUAGAGGGACCCUCACACUAUUCUUUCACGGCCAGAAACUAUUGCUCAUGCAAUUUGUGCAAGGAAAAGAUGCAAGACAAAACAAAACUGAAAUGGAGGAGAUCACGGAUGUUCUGAGUUUGGCCUAUAAAAGAGUAUCAGCAAGCAGAUUUUAGGAGGAGAUUUUAGUGAUAGUUUAGUUGUAGUAUAGAAGUCACGUCUGGGAGGAGGCUUAUCUUCCUCUCUGAGAUUCCAUUUCAAAUAGUAAAAUAAUGUAGAAUUCAAUUUGUGAAAGGAUGUAAUCUCUUACACUAUUUGGAGCACUUUGAUCGGUUUGGUUUUAUCUUCACUGUCCAGUAAUUUUAUUUUAA